rnacentral:rRNA from 1 species
GAUCAUGGCUACAGAACGAACGCUGGCGGCAGGCCUAACACAUGCAAGUCGAGCGAACCCUUCGGGGUUAGCGGCGGACGGGUUAGUAACGCGUGGGAAUCUACCCAGUUCUGCGGAAUAACACAGGGAAACUUGUGCUAAUACCGCAUACGCCCUCCGGGGGAAAGAUUUAUCGGAAUUGGAUGAGCCCGCGUUAGAUUAGCUAGUUGGUGGGGUAAAGGCCUACCAAGGCGACGAUCUAUAGCUGGUCUGAGAGGAUGAUCAGCCACACUGGGACUGAGACACGGCCCAGACUCCUACGGGAGGCAGCAGUGGGGAAUAUUGGACAAUGGGCGAAAGCCUGAUCCAGCCAUGCCGCGUGAGUGAUGAAGGCCUUAGGGUUGUAAAGCUCUUUCAGUGGGGAUGAUAAUGACAGUACCCACAGAAGAAGCCCCGGCUAACUUCGUG